rnacentral:lncRNA from 1 species
GCCUGAUAAAAAUAAAAAUAUUAAUGAUGAUUAUAAAGCUAUCUACUCUGUAUUGAGUUUGUUCAAAAUGAGUUAGACCCUUGUUGAGAGAUUUAUCAUGCUCCUAAGAUCAAGACAUUAUUUCAGAAAGAUUCACUCUUCCGAAGUAUUAUUGCAUUAGAGGCAUGGGCUAUGCAAAAAUAAAAAUAUUUCGAGGAAAUAAAAAGGAGCCAGUGCUCGACAACCUCGCAGAAAAAAUGGACAAGUGUCCGGCAGUAGAAUUAGGGGUACCUCGGUAUCCACUCAAAAAAAAUGAAAUGAAAAUGAUAGCCCAUGGUCCCUCUAAUAAGCAAUAUGCCAGCAAGAGUUGACAAAGAUUUUAAUUUCCAAAGUCUUUGAUCUAAGAGUAUGACAUUCCCCUCCUCGGAUCCCGUUUUGAUCAGGCAAUAAAUGCAAAGUAAGAAUGCUUGAGAAUUUUUGCAAAAAUAAAACAACCUCAGUGAGAUAUAUAUAUAAAAGAUAAUGAGUGAUCUGAGAGAACCUAUGAGGAUAAAAAGGUAUGCUAACUUUCUUUCAAAAAUAUAACAAAAACUCCAAGUGACAGGAUUGAGAAGAAAGGAUCUUUACUCUUAACCAUAAACAUCCCUGACUAUGGUACACAGUGGAAUUUUAACACCCUGCAAUUAUAUAAAGAGAAUGUUUUAAAUGUUUUACCCCAGAUAUUUUUCUUAACCAUCCUUUUCUCGAGGACGAGUAAAAGCCUAAGCAUGGGGGUAUUUGUUGACGGUUCUUAAGUAUCAAUUUUAAUUAUCAAAUAAACAAGAGAAAGGACCAAUAUG